AACAAAGAAUAAAAGGUCGAGCCUGCCCGGUGACUAUAUGUUUAACGGCCGCGGAAUUGUAGCCGUGCAAAGGUAGCGCAAUCACUUGUCUUUUAAAUGAAGACCUGUAUGAAUGGUAUUACGAGGGCUUAACUGUCUCCUUUUUCAAGUCAGUGAAAUUGAUCUCCCCGUGCAGAAGCGGGGAUAAGACCAUAAGACGAGAAGACCCUAUGGAGCUUAAAGACACCAAGGCAAAUCAAGUUAAACACCCCUAAACAAAGGACUAAACCUAUUGAACUCUUGCCCGUAUGUCUUCGGUUGGGGCGACCAUGGGGAAACAAAAAACCCCCACGUGGAACGGGAGCACAACUACUCCUACAACUGAGAGCUGCCGCUCUAAUAAGCAGAACUUCUGACCAAUAACUGAUCCGGCAACGCCGAUCAACGGACCAAGUUACCCUAGGGAUAACAGCGCAAUCCCCUUUUAGAGCCCCUAUCGACAAGGGGGUUUACGACCUCGAUGUUGGAUCAGGACAUCCCAAUGGUGCAGCCGCUAUUGAAGGUUCGUUUGUUCAACGAUUAAAGUCCUACGUGAUCUGAGUUCAGACCGG
rnacentral:rRNA from 1 species